ACCACACUGGGAACCUAAUAGUUUCUAAGUAAGAGGAAAUAAGUGUUUUCCACAGCAAUUUGCUUAGUUUUUAAAUUGCACUACAAAGAAACGCCUGAGGGAAGCUUAUGUAUAUACUAUUAAAACUUGUAGGUCCUCCUAUCCAGAGGUGAAGAUUUUUGCCCAUCCAUUGAGUCUGAGCUGGUCUUAUGAUUUGCUGUAACUAGCAGAGUGCAGGGAAAGUGAAAUUUACAUUACUUCUGUUGCUGGGUCUUAAAAGACCUUGCAGCCUCCACUUACACCUUUUAGGAAUGCUAUGCUGAGAUCAUCUUGUGAGGAAGCUGGUCUAGCCUACUGGAGGAUGAGCAAAGUUGCAUAGAAGAUCCCGGCAUCCAGACGGAUGGCACCAACUCCAGAUGCCUCCUUUUGUUUCUCAAAGAACCUCUUUGUGAGAAGGCUGGUCCAUACCAAGGUUCUAAUCUGCAAUUAUCUAGAAGAACAAAGCCUGUCCAGAAGAUAUUGAACUUACAACAGUUGUCUACAAUCAUAUUUUUCUAAAUGAAGAUUUGCCAAGUCAGCAUCCAAUUGCUUUCCUUUCCUUGUAUUUUUCUAUAGUGCUUUGGCAUUUGUGAAAUGCUUUUACAUUCUGCAUUUUAUUUACCUUUACUUUUGACAUAGAAAUCUAGGUUGGCAGGUUUGGUUUUUAUAUUUCCCCAGCUCUUUAAAUUUGUCUUCCCAUUUUUUGUGUUCUAGUUGUUUUUAUUGAGAAGCCAUUUAUCAGUCUAGUUGUUCCUUUGAAGGAGAUAUAUAUCCAACCCCUCCACCCUAGCUGCUUUAAAGAUUUUUUCUUUGUCUUUGAUUUAUAGCAGUUUGACUCUGAUGUGCCUAGGUGUGGUUUGCUGUGUAUUGAUCCUGCUUGGAAGGUUCUUGAAUCUGUGACUUGUUGACUUGAUUAGUUUUGGAAAAUUUUGGCUAUCAUUUCAUUAAAUAUUGUUUUUAUUCUAUCCUCUUUCUUGUUUCCUCUCCUGGGAUUCCAAAUAGAUUUCCCAUAUGUGCUAUAUGUAUUUUUCUGAUUUUUCCACCUUUUAUUUUCUCUCUGUGAUUUAAUCUGGAUAUUUUCUAAUAACAUAUUUUUUAAAGACUUUUUUUUUUGAAAGCAGUUUUAGAUUUACAAUAAAAUUGAGAGGAAGG
rnacentral:lncRNA from 1 species